CAGAGAACAUCGCCCUCACGGGUGACUCUCCAACCCUAUGUUAUACAACCUUUGUUGCUUUGGCGAGCCGCCUCGGCCGCUGGCUUCGGCUAGCGAGUGCUCGCCAGAGGACCCCAAACUCUGAAUAUUAAUGUCGUCUGAGUACUAUAUAAUAGUUA
rnacentral:misc_RNA from 1 species